GACGAACGCUGGCGGCGUGCUUAACACAUGCAAGUCGAACGGAAAGGCCCUUCGGGGUACUCGAGUGGCGAACGGGUGAGUAACACGUGGGUGAUCUGCCCUGCACUUUGGGAUAAGCCUGGGAAACUAGGUCUAAUACCGAAUAUGAUCAUCGGCUUCAUGGUCGGUGGUGGAAAGCUUUUGCGGUGUGGGAUGGGCCCGCGGCCUAUCAGCUUGUUGGUGGGGUAAUGGCCUACCAAGGCGACGACGGGUAGCCGGCCUGAGAGGGUGACCGGCCACACUGGGACUGAGAUACGGCCCAGACUCCUACGGGAGGCAGCAGUGGGGAAUAUUGCACAAUGGGCGCAAGCCUGAUGCAGCGACGCCGCGUGAGGGAUGACGGCCUUCGGGUUGUAAACCUCUUUCAGCACAGACGAAGCGCAAGUGACGGUAUGUGCAGAAGAAGGACCGGCCAACUACGUG
rnacentral:rRNA from 1 species